rnacentral:rRNA from 1 species
CACGUAGGGGGCGAGCGUUGUCCGGAUUUAUUGGGCGUAAAGAGCUCGUAGGCGGCUCAGUAAGUCAGGUGUGAAAACUCCAGGCUCAACCUGGAGACGCCACUUGAUACUGCUGUGGCUAGAGUCCGGUAGGGGAGCAUGGAAUUCCUGGUGUAGCGGUGAAAUGCGUAGAUAUCGAGAGGAACACCUGCGGCGAAGGCGGGUUGCUGGGCUGAUACUGACGCUGAGGCGCGAAAGCCAGGGGAGCGAACGGG